UGCAACGCGCUGUUAGCAUACUUGGGCGAGAAGUUAAGCGACAGUCACAGCUGUCAUCAUUCUACACGACUCACACACUCAUGUAGCAGGAGAAAUUUAAAUAACAGCCCGCAGUAUUUUGAGUAACGAACCGCUACAAACAAUGGCCUUCAACUUCACCGCUUUCACAUAUAUUGUGGCGCUUAUUGGCGAUGCAUUUCUAAUAUUUUUCGCGAUAUUUCAUGUGAUUGCAUUCGAUGAGCUAAAAACAGAUUAUAAAAAUCCAAUCGAUCAGUGCAAUAGUCUAAAUCCGCUGGUUUUGCCGGAAUAUUUGCUGCACAUUUUCUUAAAUUUACUUUUCUUAUUCUGUGGAGAAUGGUAUUCACUUUGCCUCAAUAUACCAUUAAUAGCCUAUCAUAUAUGGCGCUACAAGAAUCGUCCCUUGAUGUCGGGUCCUGGUUUAUAUGAUCCCACGACAGUGUUAAAGACGGACACAUUGUCGCGUAAUCUGCGCGAGGGGUGGAUUAAAUUGGCCGUCUAUUUGAUCAGCUUCUUCUACUAUAUAUACGGCAUGGUUUAUUCGCUCAUCUCGACAUAAGAGGGUAUAAAAAGGGCAGCUGCCUGGGGAUCUCAUUGUUGUUGGCACUAGAGCAUCUUCUACAUCUACAUCCGCAUAUAUAUAUAUAUGUCUACACACAUACACACACCGACUUGCACACCUACCCAGACCUACACACAACUCCAUUUGGGAGCGAAGAAUGUUUUUAAAUGUAAAAAUUUGCUAGAUAUUCAUAAUGCCAACCAUAACAAAGAAACAUCUAUGUAGAUUUCUAAUGCUUGCAAGAUAGCGGCAUAUUCGACUAAACAUUUUAUCCAUUGAAGCAGAGGCCAGUUGACACAUGUAUCUAAGGCAAUUGCACACGGGCCACAGCACUUAAACAUCAUAAAGAUUAGAAACGAGUUCUUAUCAAGCCCGCCUGCCAACUACCCGUAUCUACACAAAUGUAAUAGCCCAACAUGAAAUGUUCGUAUG